rnacentral:rRNA from 1 species
CUCCGGGUUGAUCCUGCCGGACCCGACUGCUAUCAGAGUGGGACUAAGCCAUGCGAGUCAACAUAGCAAUAUGUGGCAUACGGCUCAGUAACACGUAGUCAACAUGCCCAGGGGACGUGGAUAACCUCGGGAAACUGAGGAUAAACCGCGAUAGGUCAUCACUUCUGGAAUGGGUAAUGACUUAAAUCUAUAUGGCCCCUGGAUUGGACUGCGGCCGAUCAGGCUGUUGGUGAGGUAAUGGCCCACCAAACCUGUAACCGGUACGGGCUCUGAGAGGAGGAGCCCGGAGAUGGGCACUGAGACAAGGGCCCAGGCCCUAUGGGGCGCAGCAGGCGCGAAACCUCUGCAAUAGGCGAAAGCUUGACAGGGUUACUCUGAGUGAUUUCCGUUAAGGAGAUCUUUUGGCACCUCUAAAAAUGGUGCAGAAUAAGGGGUGGGCAAGUCUGGUGUCAGCCGCCGCGGUAAUACCAGCACCCCGAGUGGUCGGGACGUUUAUUGGGCCUAAAGCAUCCGUAGCCGGUUCUACAAGUCUUCCGUUAAAUCCACCUGCUUAACAGAUGGGCUGCGGAAGAUACUAUAGAGCUAGGAGGCGGGAGAGGCAAGCGGUACUCGAUGGGUAGGGGUAAAAUCCGCUGAUCCAUAGAAGACCACCAGUGGCGAAGGCGGCUUGCCAGAACGCGCUCGACGGUGAGGGAUGAAAGCUGGGGGAGCAAACCGGAUUAGAUACCCGGGUAGUCCCAGCUGUAAACGAUGCAGACUCGGUGAUGAGUUGGCUUAUUGCUAACUCAGUGCCGCAGGGAAGCCGUUAAGUUUGCCGCCUGGGGAGUACGGUCGCAAGACUGAAACUUAAAGGAAUUUGGCGGGGAGCA